CAGCCGCCGCGGUAAUACGGAGGGUGCAAGCGUUAAUCGGAAUUACUGGGCGUAAAGCGCACGCAGGCGGUUUGUUAAGUCAGAUGUGAAAUCCCCGAGCUUAACUUGGGAACUGCAUUUGAAACUGGCAAGCUAGAGUCUUGUAGAGGGGGGUUGAAUUCCAGGUGUAGCGGUGAAAUGCGUAGAGAUCUGGAGGAAUACCGGUGGCGAAGGCGGCCCCCUGGACAAAGACUGACGCUCAGGUGCGAAAGCGUGGGGAGCAAACAGGAUUAGAUACCCCUGUAGUCCCUGUCUCUUAUAC
rnacentral:rRNA from 1 species